rnacentral:rRNA from 1 species
GGGUUGUGAGGUUAAGCGACUAAGCGUACACGGUGGAUGCCCUGGCAGUCAGAGGCGAUGAAGGGCGUGCUAAUCUGCGAUAAGCGCCGGUAAGGUGAUAUGAACCGUUAUAACCGGCGAUACCCGAACGGGGCAACCCCGUG